AUGGCCGCAGUAUUUUGACUGUGCAAAGGUAGCAUAAUUAUUAGUUUUUUAAUUGAAAGCUUGUAUGAAGGGUUGGACGAGAUAAAAUCUGUCUUUAUUUAAAUUAAAAUAGAAUUUAACUUUUAAGUCAAAAGGCUUAAAUGUUUAUAAAAGACGAGAAGACCCUAUAGAUCUUUAUUAAAUUUAAAUUUUGAUAAUUUAAGAUUAUUUUAAUUUGAAGUUUAAAUUUAAUUUUAUUGGGGUAAUAUAAAGAUUAAAUAAAUUCUUUUUAUUAAUUACAUUAAUUUAUGAAUAUAUGAUCCAUUAUUAUUGAUUAUAAGAUUAAGUUACCUUAGGGAUAACAGCGUAAUUUUUUUGGAGAGCUCAUAUCGAUAAAAAAGUUUGCGACCUCGAUGUUGGAUUAAAAAUUAGCUUGGGUGCAGAAGCUCAAGAUUUUGGUCUGUUCGACCAUUAAAUUUUUACAUGAUCUGAGU
rnacentral:rRNA from 1 species